UCGGCUGCUGGUGGGCCCAAAAUGGGGGUGCGGUGAAGGGAGGGAGGUGGGUCUUAAUCUGAGCAGGAGGGUCUGCGAGGAAGAGAGUGUACCUGUAGGUUUGUAGCCUCUCUGCCGACUGGCGUCCGCGUGACCUGUGGGGUUGUGUACACGAAGGGAGAGGUUUGGUUUGGUUUUUAAUCUGCCCAAAGUGUGUCCUGUAUCUGUGGGCAGCUGAAUACGAAUGGGAGAAGGAGGCUUUGUGAGCAUCUGCAGGGAUUGCGCACAGGAGUGUCUGUGUUUUGUGCGCAAGAGUGAGUGUGGGUCUGUAAGUCUGGGCGCCAGAGGGUGUUGUGUCUGCGCCAAGGAGUUAUCUGGAAAGCCUCGGGUGGUGGGCGUUCGAAGUCUGUGCGUGACCAUCGGUGUAUAUGCGGGGGUCCAAGUGCAGUCAGGACAGUGUGGAACGCAUCACCCCACUGCCGCCACCACUAGCACCAGCGCCAACAGCGGGAACAGCUCCCCUUACCCCACCCCGUGUUUUUCUGAUGGAGGAAGAGCUUGGAGAAUUAACUUCAAACCUGAACUCCAUUUACUCGGAGGACGCUUCCCAAACAACCAGGCUGGCACGGAGGCUACAGCGGAGGUGGUCAGGCCCUCUCACUGAAGGCAGGCUUCCAGCUGUCCAGGUUUUCCUUUGCCAGAGCAUCGUGGUGGGAUCCACAGAUGCGUGCAGCUUCUGACAACAUGCCCUGAGCGCCUUCAGAAUUCCCAGACCUGCUCCUGCCAAAGCAGCCCUAGCUCCUGGGGUGAUCAUGAGACCUUCAACUGGCCUCCCCUCUGCAGCCGGGGAUGAACCCAACCCCCGCAGGGAGUCUGGGUUUUCAGACACUUGGAGAUCUCCAUCCGCUCUUCCUCUGAAGCCAACUCUCUGCUCCAGGAGUGGACAGGAAUUUUGGCAAUGAGUCUGGGUAAAUCCGGCCAUGGUGGUCCUCAGAGCCUGCCAGCCCUGAGCAGGGAGGAGGUUCUUAGAAGGCAGUAGUGGUCCUCAGACGGCCGACCUGCAGGGAGCUUGUGCCCUCUCUGCUCUGACUCCCUCCUGGGCACCUCAGCUGAGGGUCUGGCUAAGGGGAUGCCCUCUGCCACAGGAAAUUCCUCAGAUCCAGAGGGACUCACCUGGUCAAUGAAUAGGGCCAAGGGCAGAGGCCAAAGGUGAGGGAGGCUGGCAUGUUCCCGUGGCCCUGGGCCCUUGUUACUGGGAGCCACUGUUGGGAAGCCCUCCUAAGCUGUGCCUCUGGAGCUUUCCCACCAGGCAAUGGCAGGGCCACAAAUAUCUGUCUUCCCCUGAAUUUUCUCUCACACCACCUUUACCCCCACCCUAUGCUCUCCCACCCCCAUGCCACCCUUUCCUCCUGAGAGCACACUUAGCAUGGAAGACAUACCCAGUCAAGGGCACCAGUGCUGGAUGGUGAGACCUGAGGGUCUCUGGGCUUUCCUUGGGAUAGAUUUGGUCAGAGAGAGAUGAGGCCCUAGCUCACUGCCCAGAGGUGAUGGGGCCAACAGCUUCCUUUUGGUCAGAAGCUGAGAGGGGUGAGUGUAAGAGGGGAGGCUUUGGGUUGGGGGUAGGAAGAGGAGAAAGGUGGUCACCCCUUAAUCAG
ensembl:lncRNA